UUAGGAAUCUUCCGCAAUGGACGGAAGUCUGACGGAGCGACGCCGCUUGGAGGAGGAAGCCCUUCGGGGUGUAAACUCCUGAACUGGGGACGAGAGCCCUGGAGAGGGGGAUGACGGUACCCAGGUAAUAGCGCCGGCCAACUCCGUGCCAGCAGCCGCGGUAAUACGGAGGGCGCGAGCGUUACCCGGAUUUACUGGGCGUAAAGGGCGUGUAGGCGGUUUGGGGCGUCCCAUGUGAAAGGCCACGGCUCAACCGUGGAGGAGCGUGGGAUACGCUCAAGCUAGAGGGUGGGAGAGGGUGGUGGAAUUCCCGGAGUAGCGGUGAAAUGCGCAGAUACCGGGAGGAACGCCGAUGGCGAAGGCAGCCACCUGGCCCAUUUCUGACGCUGAGGCGCGAAAGCGUGGGGAGCAAACCGGAUUAGAUACCCGGGUAGUCCACGCCCUAAACGAUGCGCGCUAGGUCUUUGGGUUUUUCUGGGGGCCGAAGCCAACGCGUUAAGCGCGCCGCCUGGGGAGUACGGCCGCAAGGCUG
rnacentral:rRNA from 1 species